rnacentral:rRNA from 1 species
UGCCAGUAGUCAUAUGCUUGUCUUAAAGAUUAAGCCAUGCAUGUCUCAGUGCAAGCUAAAUUAAAGUGAAACCGCGGAAGGCUCAUUAUAUCAGCUAUGGUUCCUUAGAUGGUACCAAAGUAUACUUGGAUAACUGUGGCAAUUCUAGAGCUAAUACAUGCAAAUAGAGUCCCUGCCUCCCAAGGCAGGGAUGCUUUUAUUAGACCAAAACCAACCGGCCUUCGGGCUAGUUGCUCUUGGUGACUCUGAUUAACUUUGGGCUGAUCGCACGGUCACGUACCGGCGACGCAUCUUUCAAAUGUCUGCCUUAUCAACUAUCGAUGGUAGGCUCUACGCCUACCAUGGUUGUAACGGGUGACGGGGAAUCAGGGUUCGAUUCCGGAGAGGGAGCCUGAGAGACAGCUACCACAUCCAAGGAAGGCAGCAGGCGCGCAAAUUACCCACUCCCGGCACGGGGAGGUAGUGACGAUAAAUAACGAUGCAGAACUCUUUCCGAGGCUCUGCAAUCGGAAUGAGCACACUCUAAAUCAUUUAACGAGUAUCCAUCGGAGGGCAAGCCUGGUGCCAGCAGCUGCGGUAAUUCCAGCUCCGAUAGCGUAUAUUAAAGUUGUUGCGGUUAAAAAGCUCGUAGUUGGAUCUGUGUUUCACUCUGUCGGUUCGUUGCCCGUCAACGUUUAACUGGCAUGCAAGUGGAACGUCCUGCCGGUUGGCAACGCGCGUCCGCAAGGGCGUGCGUGCGCCAGUUGGAUCCUGUCUAGGUCCUCUUCACCGAGAGUCGAGGCGGGCCGGCACGUUUACUUUGAACAAAUUUGAGUGCUUAAAGCAGGCUGUUACGCCUGAAAACUGGUUGCAUGGAAUAAUGGAAUAGGACCUCGGUUCUACUUUGUUGGUUUUCGGAGCCCGAGGUAAUGAUUAAUAGGGACAGGCGGGGGCAUUAGUAUUGCGACGUUAGAGGUGAAAUUCUAAGAUCGUCGCAGGACUAACCUAAGCGAAAGCAUUUGCCAAGGAUGCUUCCUUUAAUCAAGAACGAAAGUUAGAUGAUCGAAGGCGAUCAGAUACCGCCCUAGUUCUAACCAUAAACGAUGCCAGCCAGCAAUCCGUCGCUGUUCCUCCGAUGACUCGACGGGCAGCUUCCGGGAAACUUAAGCUUUUAGGUUCCGGGGGAAGUAUGGUUGCAAAGCUGAAACUUAAAGGAAUUGACGGAAGGGCACCACCAGGAGUGGAGCCUGCGGCUUAAUUCGACUCAACACGGG